rnacentral:sRNA from 1 species
AUUAUUGAUACAGUUUCUGUACUAUAUUGGUACGCGAAGCUUCCAAAUCCGCGAGUCGCGGUUAUGUUUGGUCAAUUUCUUUUGGGCCGGGGUCCACGGACCC